CCAGAGUUUUUGUUUCCACCUGCAUGGCUUUUCUCUGACAAUGUCACGCUGGGAUAGGAAGAUAAGGAGGAGGAGGUUGAGGGUAUAAGACAAAUCAAACAUCCCCCCUGUCUGCCUCGCUUGAUUUCAAUUUGGUAUCCAUUGGAAACAGGCAUUCUUCACCGUGCUCUGAUAAUGGCGUGUGCACUUUACUGAUAUCUUUAGCAGAGAUGUGAGCUGUCAGUCAGAGAGCUGAAGGGUGAACGGGAUCAAGAGGUCCGUGCCAGAGGUAUUUCCAGGCAUGCAGCAGCACUGAUUGAGAUUUGACUCCGGUGAUAUGAAGGUCCUGUCGGAGACGAGGUGGUUGGAAGCGCAGCAGGCCUUAUCUCCUCCUGAAGAACUCCCGGUUAAGAUACGACUAACUCGUUCCCACACAAGGGCACAGAGUCACUUUAAGAGUAAUCUUUAGCUUUUCCACUCCUGGAGUGCUCCUUCUGUCUGAUAAAAAAAAAAUGUCAAUGACAUUGUAAUGAAAAGCUUUUUUUUAGUGUUUGUAAUAUCUUUCAAAGCACGGCAAACAUUGCAGAACCCUGUUGAGCUCACAGUAGUUGGUGGAAGAACACGGAGAAACUAAUCUGUAUCUGAAGGUGGAAAAUGUAGUAUACGUUUCGAAAAGCAGCCUGAAGCUGUGAACAAAUCCUAACAUUUGACUUACUUCAUCACAAUGGGCCUGAAUCUAAGCUUGAGUUGUUGUUGUUAAUCCAAGUGUGCUACAAAUCAUUUACAAUAUCAUUUUUAUCAUAAAAUGACACUGAAUGUGUGAUAAUAAGAAGCAACGAAGAUCCUACUCUUUUCACAACAGAGGCUUCUUCAUGACCUGAGCUUGACCCGGUCUGACAGAUUUGUUCAGUCCUAACCGAACCUGAAGCCAAUGUUUUAAUGUCAAAAUUAUGCACAUUAUGUCAUAAUCACUAUCACUAUUAAACGAGUACAUUUGCGUUCGUAUAGAUAUAUUUUGAGCACACAUGGUCAUCUUCCAAUUCAAGAACACAGAAUAGAAGCAGCCUCAUAUCAGAGCCGUGAUAAGGACUUCUGGUCUGCACUACUGUAUGCCCCCUAAAUUUUAAUUAACAUGCCUGAGGAACAGAGGAAAACGCAAGAAAGAUUACAGCACAUUACUCUCAUUGUUAGAUUGGCAAGUAAACAUGUAUAACACAAUAUGUUUACCUGGCAAGGACCUCUUGCUGCUGUACAAAUUAUGACUUUUUUUGGAAGGAGGCUGGAGUGGAUUGUUUGGUCAGGAGAGUGUCAGACUGUGACACUGGAGACAACUGUUAAAUUCCCUUUUCUCAACCAACCGUCAAUGUUGUUUUCUGUUAACCAUGCAUUUCCCUAACCUUAAAGCCCCCCUGCAGUCCAAAAUGUGUUUUGCUUCUUGUUUCUCCAGUUAGAUGUUUCAGCUUCACUGUGCAGAAUGAUGUCUGUGCAGUGUUUGGCACUAAAAGGUUGUUUUCACAUUCAUCUGCUGAAAGUGGAAAGAUUCUCUGUGCUCACCAGAUAUAUGAGUUUAAGCCAUGUACCUAUGAGCAUUAUUGGUGACAUCACAAUUGUUUUGGAGCCAGCUGUGGUCCAGUAAAUGUGUUUUUUUCUUCUUGUUC